rnacentral:rRNA from 1 species
CCUACGGGUGGCAGCAGUGAGGAAUAUUGGUCAAUGGGCGCGAGCCUGAACCAGCCAAGUAGCGUUAAGGAUGACUGCCCUACGGGUUGUAAACUUCUUUUAUAAAGGAAUAAAGUGAGGCACCUGUGCCUUUUUGUAUGUACUUUAUGAAUACGGAUCGGCUAACUCCGUGCCAGCAGCCGCGGUAAUACGGAUGUUCCGAGCGUUAUCCGGAUUUAGUGGGUUUAAAGGGAGCGUAGAUGGGUUGUUAAGUCAGUUGUGAAAGUUUGCGGCUCAACCGUAAAAUUGCAAUUGAUACUGGCAGGCUGGAGUACAGGUGAGGGAGGCGGAAUUCGUGGUGUAGCGGUGAAAUGCUUAGAUAUCACGAAGAACUCCGAUUGCGAAGGCAGCUUACUAAACUGCGACUGACAUUGAUGCUCGAAAGUGUGGGUAGCAAACAGGAUUAGAUACCCCGGUAGUC